AACCCAUACAUUGGACAUUUUCUAAGUAAUUCCUUAAAUCUUUCUUAGGCUUCGUACAUCGUUUCAUCCUCUGAUUAUCGAAAAGAUGUUAUUUCAUUUCUGAGCUU
rfam:Gossypium raimondii chromosome 10, whole genome shotgun sequence.